GCCGCUGAGUUUAAGCAUAUAAAUAAGCGGAGGAGAAGGAACUUACAAGGAUUCCCCUAGUAACGGUGAGCGAACCCGGA
rnacentral:ncRNA from 1 species